GGCCUGAUGGUCUAGUAGUAUGAUUCCUUGUUAGGGUCUCGAUGAGAGAUUGAAAUUUCGAGGAGGUCCCGGGUUCAAUUCCCGGUCAGGCCC